CGGCAGCGCGAGGGUGCUUGCACCCUUGGCGGCGAGCGGCGGACGGGUGAGUAAUACAUGGGAAUAUGCCCGACAGUGGGGGAUAACCUUGGGAAACCAAGGCUAAUACCGCAUACCCUUUACGAAGGAAAGCGGGGGAUCUUCGGACCUCGCGCUGACGGAGUAGCCCAUGUCCGAUUAGCUUGUUGGUGGGGUAACGGCCUACCAAGGCGAUGAUCGGUAGCUGAUCUGAGAGGAUGGUCAGCCACACCGGGACUGAGACACGGCCCGGACUCCUACGGGAGGCAGCAGUGGGGAAUAUUGGACAAUGGGGGAAACCCUGAUCCAGCGAUGCCGCGUGGGUGAAGAAGGCCUUCGGGUUGUAAAGCCCUUUCGCAGGGGAAGAAACGGUUGCGGUUAAUAUCCGUAGCAACUGACGGUACCCUGAUAAGAAGCACCGGCUAACUACGUGCCAGCAGCCGCGGUAAUACGUANGGUGCGAGCGU
rnacentral:rRNA from 1 species